AAAUUUAGCUCCUGAAGACAGUUCGGGACACCCCGCACAUAAUCAGCGUCUUCGAAUCACUCGCCGGUCGCCGUGAUUUUGCUGCGAAGCAAGGCUUGGGUAGAUCGUAAAAGUUUCUUGCAGAGUUUCGCAGGAUUCAUGGUGAGGACCUAAUCACACUGUUCAACCAAGGACUACAAAGACUGGCAGAACCCCUUUCUAGACUUCACAAAGAUAGAUGCAAAUGAGCCAAGAAAGAUGUGACAGUUUACUUCCCGGAAGCUAAGAAGAAAUUGCCAUACAGAUUCUACCAACCUUUUUCAAGGAAGACCUGGUGAUGUAUUCAUCUCAAGUGACAAGGUUGAUACGAAGCCCAUGUACAUACGUGUAUCCUGCAAUCAAGAGGAAUCAUAUGAGCUUGUUCUGGAGGAGCAAAGAGUCUGUCAAGUCCAGGAUAAAGUGCAUGCAUUGGCUUGUUAAGUAGCUGGUUUUUAUUUUUCAUUCAGCCUAUGGCUGUGAGCCAUCAGUCAUGAAAAUUUGUGAGUUUUGCCAACUUGGAAUUCUUCAGGUGAAAGAUGCAUGUCCUGUUGAUAAAUCUGUUAUCAACCUUCUGAACAUGUUGAAGAAGAAAGUGCCCUCCAGACAAGGGAAGUAACU
rnacentral:lncRNA from 1 species